rnacentral:rRNA from 1 species
AAAUUGAAGAGUUUGAUCAUGGCUCAGAUUGAACGCUGGCGGCAGGCCUAACACAUGCAAGUCGAACGGUAACAGGAAGCAGCUUGCUGAUUCGCUGACGAGUGGCGGACGGGUGAGUAAUGUCUGGGAAACUGCCUGAUGGAGGGGGAUAACUACUGGAAACGGUAGCUAAUACCGCAUAACGUCGCAAGACCAAAGAGGGGGAC